AGCGAACGCUGGCGGCAGGCCUAACACAUGCAAGUCGAACGAACCUUUCGGGGUUAGUGGCGGACGGGUGAGUAACACGUGGGAACGUGCCUUUAGGUUCGGAAUAACUCAGGGAAACUUGUGCUAAUACCGCAUGUGCCCUUCGGGGGAAAGAUUAAUCGCCUUUAGAGCGGCCCGCGUCGGAUUAGCUAGUUGGUUGAGGUAAUGGCUCACCAAGGCGACGAUCAGUAGCUGGUCUGAGAGGAUGAUCAGCCACAUUGGGACUGAGACACGGCCCAAACUCCUACGGGAGGCAGCAGUGGGGAAUCUUGCGCAAUGGGCGAAAGCCUGACGCAGCCAUGCCGCGUGAAUGAUGAAGGUCUUAGGAUUGUAAAAUUCUUUCACCGGGGACGAUAAUGACGGUACCCGGAGAAGAAGCCCCGGCUAACUUCGUG
rnacentral:rRNA from 1 species